rnacentral:rRNA from 1 species
GACGAACGCUAGCGGCGUGCUUAACACAUGCAAGUCGUACGGUAAGGCCCUUUCGGGGGUACACGAGUGGCGAACGGGUGAGUAACACGUGAGUAACCUGCCCACAACUUUGGGAUAACGCUAGGAAACUGGUGCUAAUACUGGAUAUGUGCUCCUGCUGCAUGGUGGGGGUUGGAAAGCUCCGGCGGUUGUGGAUGGACUCGCGGCCUAUCAGCUUGUUGGUGGGGUAGUGGCCUACCAAGGCGGCGACGGGUAGCCGGCCUGAGAGGGUGACCGGCCACAUUGGGACUGAGAUACGGCCCAGACUCCUACGGGAGGCAGCAGUGGGGAAUAUUGCACAAUGGGCGCAAGCCUGAUGCAGCAACGCCGCGUGCGGGAUGACGGCCUUCGGGUUGGAAACCGCUUUCAGCAGGGACGAAGCUUUUUGUGACGGUACCUGCAGAAGAAGCACCGGCUAACUACGUG